GCGCCUGUAGCUCAAUUGGAUAGAGUAUCAGAUUCCGAUUCUGGCGGUUGCAGGUUCGAUCCCUGUCAGGCGCACCA
rnacentral:tRNA from 1 species